GUCAGAACGAAACUGGGCUGUGAAUAACUCAUUACAGGCCCGUCCUACAUUUAAGAAGAAUAGAUAUUGGGCUGCACCAUGAAAAUAAAGUUCAAAUCCAUAACAUUCAAAUCCAAAAAGUUACCUCGCAGCCUUAAGUCCCAUCCCUAGAAGAACACCAGCAGAGAAAAAUGGAUGCUUAAAGUUGACCCUUGCAGUGCCACCCAUGAUCUACUUAUCAAAUUCCCAUAUGACGCCACCAUCCUCUUUAACUUUCUUGUUU
rnacentral:misc_RNA from 1 species